CCUACGGGUGGCAGCAGUGGGGAAUAUUGCACAAUGGGGGAAACUCUGAUGCAGCAACGCCGCGUGAAGGAAGACUGCUUUCGGAUUUUAAACUUCUGUUUAUAUUGAAGAAUAAUGACGUUAGUUAAGGAUCAAGCCACGGCUAACUACGUGCCAGCAGCCGCGGUAAUACGUAGGUGGCAAGCGUUGUCCGGAAUUACUGGGUGUAAAGGGAGCGCAGGCGGGAAGCUAAGUCAGCUGUGAAAACUACGGGCUUAACGUGUAGACUGCAGUUGAAACUGGUUUUCUUGAGUGAAGUAGAGGUUGGCGGAAUUCCGAGGGUAGCGGUGAAAUGCGUAGAUAUUCGGAGGAACACCGGUGGCGAAGGCGGCCAACUGGGCUUUAACUGACGCUGAGGCUCGAAAGUGUGGGGAGCAAACAGGAUUAGAUACCCUUGUAGUC
rnacentral:rRNA from 1 species